GAUGAAGAACGUAGCGAAAUGCGAUAAGUAAUGUGAAUUGCAGAAUUCCGUGAAUCAUCGAAUCAUUGAACGCACAUUGCGCCCCCUGGCAUUCCGGGGGGCAUGCCUGUCCGAGCGUCAUUUCUGCCCUCCAGCCCGGCUGGGUGUUGGGCGCUGUCCCCCCGGGGACACGCCCCAAAGGCAGUGGCGGCGCCGCGUCGGGUCCUCGAGCGUAUGGGGCUUUGUCACCCGCUCGGGACGGACUCGUCGGCGCUGGUCUUCCUCCAGGCGACCCUUCGGGGCUCGUCUUCCUUCGGUUGACCUCGGAUCAGGUAGGGUUACCCGCUGAACUUAAGCAUAUCAAUAAGCGGAGGA
rnacentral:misc_RNA from 1 species